rnacentral:rRNA from 1 species
CAUUACUGAGUUACCGCUCUAUAACCCUUUGUGAACAUACCUACAACUGUUGCUUCGGCGGGUAGGCCGUCCCCUGAAAAGGACGCCUCCCGGCCCGGACCGGGCCCCCUGUGGGGCCGGACUCGGCGCCCGCCGGAGGAUAACCAAACGCUAUUUUAACGACGUUUCUUCUGAGUGGCAUAAGCAAAAUAAUCAAAACUUUUAACAACGGAUCUCUUGGUUCUGGCAUCGAUGAAGAACGCAGCGAAAUGCGAUAAGUAAUGUGAAUUGCAGAAUUCAGUGAAUCAUCGAAUCUUUGAACGCACAUUGCGCCCGCCAGCAUUCUGGCGGGCAUGCCUGUUCGAGCGUCAUUUCAACCCUCAAGCUCUGCUUGGUGUUGGGGCUCUACGGUCGACGUAGGCCCUCAAAGGUAGUGGCGGACCCUCCCGGAGCCUCCUUUGCGUAGUAACAUUUCGUCUCGCACUGGGAUCCGGAGGGACUCUUGCCGUAAAACCCCCCAAUUUUUCAAGGUUGACCUCGGAUCAGGUAGGAAUACCCGCUGAACUUAAGCAUAUCAAUAA